ACUGUGGAGUGUUACAUAAACUAUAGUAGAUGCUUUUACGGAUCGAGAUAGGACACUAUGAAGCAGUAA
ncrna:unclassified sequences RAGATH-18 RNA